GCGGUUGGGAGUGGGCAGGCUAGGGAGGGCUGCAGGCUGUGAUUGGCCAGGUGUGAAGGUGAUUGACUGGGCUAUAUCCCCCUCCUCUUGUCAGUGAAGCCUUGUUUGCUGAAACCAUUUCCACAUAUUGAUCUAUGAGAGGACAUUAUACAUCAUCCGGGGAAGAGUGUAGCUGAACAAAGUUGUUAACACAGGAAAGAGGGGAACAGGGAGCAGUUAUGCUGUGAGAAGCUUUAAGCCAGUUAUGAUCAUAAAUCAUCAGCUCAUACCUAGAUUUACUUAUUUGGAACCCCCAAAUGUCUCUUCCCUGGAGGGGAAAGGAAUUGAAGGUUGCCAGACAUGGACUGAAGCCAUCCCUGAGAGGAUGUGAAACUGAACAGGCAAAGAAUGAGUGAUUUACAUCAACCACAAGUACACUAUUCACGAGGACGCUGCAAGCCAUUCUUUUGAAAAGCUGUUCUAAUGAAUGGGAUUCAUACCUCUAAAAUAAACGAAAAAGGGAUCUGCCAACAUCUUUCCAGAAUAAUCCUUGGUAUCAAAUGUUGAAUAUAUGGAGUCUUUCAGCAUAUCAAUUCGGCCAUGGGAUGUAAAUAUUAGAAAUAGUAUAAAAUGUAUAUGGUAACUUCUGUCUAUUAUUGGAGACAGCUGAAAAGCGUGCUUGUUUUUCUUCCC